rfam:Myotis brandtii contig208438, whole genome shotgun sequence.
GGCGGUUCUCGGGUGACACAUCCUGGAAUUGGGUUCCUUCCACUCUGGUUCAGGGUGUAUCACCCGAGAACUGCC